rnacentral:rRNA from 1 species
UACGGGGGGAGCAAGCGUUGUUCGGAAUUAUUGGGCGUAAAGAGCUCGUAGGCGGUCUGUCACGUCUGCUGUGAAAACCCGAGGCUCAACCUCGGGCCUGCAGUGGGUACGGGCAGACUAGAGUGCGGUAGGGGAGAUUGGAAUUCCUGGUGUAGCGGUGGAAUGCGCAGAUAUCAGGAGGAACACCGAUGGCGAAGGCAGAUCUCUGGGCCGUAACUGACGCUGAGGAGCGAAAGCAUGGGAGCGAACAGG